rnacentral:rRNA from 1 species
AUUGAACGCUGGCGGCAGGCCUAACACAUGCAAGUCGAGCGGAGGAGACAAGCUUGCUUCUCUUCAGGGCGGCGGACGGGGGAGUACUGCCUACGAAUUUGCAAGGUCGGCGGGGACCACGUGCGGAAACGGACGCUAAUACCGCAUACGUCCCUCGGGCGCAAGCAGGGGACCCUCGGGCGUUGCGCGUUCAGAUGGGCGUAGGUCGGAUGAGAUAGUUGGUGGGGUAGUGGCACACCAAGGCGACGUUCCGUAACUGGUCUGAGAGGAUGAUCAGUUACACUGGAACUGAGACACGGUCCAGACUCCUACGGGGGGCAGCAGUGGGGAAUAUUGGACAAUGGGCGAGAGCCUGAUCCAGCCAUGCCGCGUGUGUGAAGAAGGUCUUCGGAUUGUAAAGCGCUUUAAGUUGGGAGGAAGGGCAGUAAAUUAAUACGUUGCGGUUUUGACGUUACCGACAGAAUAAGCACCGGCUAACUCUGUGCCAGCCGCCGCCGUAA